UAAUGUUCAGUCGAACAAUCAUCAAAUAUUGGCGCGGUCAGAGUAGGUAUCGCACAGGGCUGCCGGAUCGGGUAGCACGAAAGCGGCAGGGAAGCCCCGUAGUGUGUCUUGUCGCCAGUGGGCGAGGCGGGUCGCUUCAUUCAAAGUUCCAUUCGCGCCGCUUGCUACUGGAGGCAAGGGUGCCCUGAAAGGGUCAGUCCAGAGGACUUAGAAUUUUUAAGAUAUUUUUCACAAUUGUUAUCAGUCUAGUUUUGGUUUGCAGUUAAGAUGAUAAUAAUUGUUAUGAUUAACCUCUGAUCAUAAUAUCCAUGAUGAUAGCAUCCCUGCAUCAUCGCAUCAUCAAAUGCUGUGUGUAUCAAUAACUUGCCAAUCCUUACUGAUAGCACCAUACAUUACCUACUAGUAUAUUGCUGAAUCAGGACUUGAAAACUUACAGAACUUGGACAAAUAUACAGAAUGAGGAAGUACCAAACUUAAAUACAAAUGGAGUAUACAACACUUUGAGUUCAUGUAAUGAAGGAAAAGGACUACUUCUUCGCUACAAAGAAAACGGAAUGAAUUCCUGAAAGUUAAUUCUUCUAAGUAUCUUCGCCAAGCCUCUCCCGGUGUGCACUGAAUUAUAUAAAAUGAAGAAAACAGACUAUGAUUGUUAUGUUAAAUUUUAAACUCAAGUAAUGUGUUUGACAUUAAUUUGGGCUAAGCAAUGUCUUAUUAAUAUUUGGUUAACUAUUCUUUAUUUUUAUUAGCCCUAUUAUGUUUUAUAAUAUAUUGGUGUUUGAUUACCAGUUAUUAUACAAUGGAGAUACUACAGCGUUUGUAACUUAAAUUUAAUAAUCUGGAUUUUCUUGAGUGAAUGACAAGACAUUAAAUUGUGUUA